UACGGAGGGGGCUAGCGUUGUUCGGAAUUACUGGGCGUAAAGCGCACGUAGGCGGCUUUGUAAGUUAGAGGUGAAAGCCCAGGGCUUAACCCUGGAAGUUGCCUUUAAGACUGCAUCGCUAGAAUCGUGGAGAGGUGAGUGGAAUUUCGAGUUGUAGAGGUGAAAUUCGUAGAUAUUCGCAAGAACACCAGUGGCGAAGGCGGCUCACUGGCCCGGUACUGACGCUGAGGUGCGAAAGCGUGGGGAGCAAACAGG
rnacentral:rRNA from 1 species